UACAGUUUGAUCCUGGCUCAGAUUGAACGCUGGCGGCAUGCCUAACACAUGCAAGUCGAACGGCAGCACAGUCGUAAUCAAUCACGAUGGGUGGNGAGUGGCGGACGGGUGAGGAAUGCAUCGGAAUCUGCCCGAUCGUGGGGGAUAACGCAUCGAAAGGUGCGCUAAUACCGCAUGAGAUCGAGAGAUGAAAGCGGGGGACCUUCGGGCCUCGCGCGAUCGGAUGAGCCGAUGCCGGAUUAGCUAGUUGGCGGGGUAAAGGCCCACCAAGGCGACGAUCCGUAGCUGGUCUGAGAGGAUGAUCAGCCACACUGGGACUGAGACACGGCCCAGACUCCUACGGGAGGCAGCAGUGGGGAAUAUUGGACAAUGGGCGCAAGCCUGAUCCAGCAAUGCCGCGUGUGUGAAGAAGGCCUUCGGGUUGUAAAGCACUUUUAUCGGGAGCGAAAAGCGGGCGGUGAAUACCCGUCCGUGCUGACGGUACCCGAGGAAUAAGCACGGCUAACUUCGUGCAGCAGCCGCGGUAAUACGAAGGGUGCAAGCGUUAUCG
rnacentral:rRNA from 1 species